UAGGGAAUAUUAGAAAUGGACGAAAGUCUGAUCUAGCAACACCGCGUGUGCGAUGAAAGCCUUCGGGUUGUAAAGCACUUUUUGGAAGGAUUAGGAAGGAAUGUACUUCCAGAAUAAGUCUCGGCUAACUACGUGCCAGCAGCCGCGGUAACACGUAGGAGGCGAACGUUAUCCGGAUUUACUGGGCGUAAAGCGCGUGUAGGUGGUUCUGUAAGUAGGGCGUGAAAGCUCCUGGCUCAACUGGGAGAGGCCGUUCUAAACUGCAGAGCUAGAGGAUGGUAGAGGGAGGUGGAAUUCCGGGUGUAGCGGUGGAAUGCGCAGAUAUCCGGAGGAACACCAGUGGCGAAGGCGGCCUCCUGGACCAUUCCUGACACUCAGACGCGAAAGCUAGGGUAGCAAAC
rnacentral:rRNA from 1 species